rnacentral:rRNA from 1 species
UACGUAGGGUGCAAGCGUUAUCCGGAUUCACUGGGUUUAAAGGGUGCGUAGGAGGGCAGGUAAGUCAGUGGUGAAAUCCCCGAGCUUAACUUGGGAACUGCCGUUGAUACUAUCUGUCUUGAAUACCGUGGAGGUGAGCGGAAUAUGUCAUGUAGCGGUGAAAUGCUUAGAUAUGACAUAGAACACCAAUUGCGAAGGCAGCUCGCUACACGAAUAUUGACUCUGAGGCACGAAAGCGUGGGGAUCAAACAGG